CUACGGAGGGUCCAAGCGUUAUCCGGAAUCAUUGGGUUUAAAGGGUCCGUAGGCGGGCAAUUAAGUCAGAGGUGAAAUCCCACAGCUCAACUGUGGAACUGCCUUUGAUACUGAUUGUCUUGAGUUAUAUUGAAGUGAGUAGAAUAUGUAGUGUAGCGGUGAAGUGCUUAGAGAUUACAUAGAAUACCGAUUGCGAAGGCAGCUCACUAAGUAUAUACUGACGCUGAGGGACGAAAGCGUGGGGAGCGAACAGGAUUAGAUACCCCAGUAGUCC
rnacentral:rRNA from 1 species